ACUAUAACCUCACCCCACGCGCCAGUCUCCUCCUCCGCCAUCCGUUGGCACAACGAAUUCCAACGUGCAACGUAGUCGCCAUUUUAUGCUAUUAUUUUGUGGAUACCGAGAAGAGAACAGAAUUUCUGGUGUGGAGAAGAUUUUCGUCUACAUUUGACCAUGCCACGUGCAAGCAAGAGUUCCAGGGCAGCCAAGAAAAGGAUAUCUUCUCCAGAAGACCAAGGAUCCACUGUUAAGGUACGGUCUAGUUGGCGGUUGUUGGCGGUUGGCUAUCAGUCUCCCUACCUCUUGAUUGCCAAUCAGCUGUGCACUUCCAAUGAGCGGUUUAGUUGUCAACCUAAAAUGACCACACUGGUCAGCUGUUUGACACAUUGGUUUGGAAAGUUGCUUGUUUAGAGAGUUGUGGAAUCAGAGAGACUUUUUGUUGAAAUCAUUGUAAAUGUCGUUAAUAUUUUGUUAGAAUGGUUUGCUUCAUAGUGCAGUCUUUUAAUAGAGCAGUUAUUUUGAUAUUGUGCUUUAGGUUUGUUUGUUUUUGUUCACUGCACACGGGGCUUUGGAAUAGGUAAGCUGUCCUUCAUGGGCAUACACCAUCACACAGCUAACCUGUGUUAACACACUAGAUAAGAAACUGUGCCACCCCAUGUAUGUGUAGUGUAGGUAAGUUUAUGUGUUUACUAGAUAGGAUACUUUUUGGUAUUUGCUUUUGUUUUGGCAUCAUUCCAUCUUUAUUCCCCUGUGAUGAAUGUGCAUUUUCCACACAUUGCCAUUCCCUCCAUGUUAAGCAAAGAGGGUUUAACAGUAACUGACUACUGUUUGCAUUAAGUGUUAGGGUUUAAGAUGUAUUUACUGAAGUGAACUGUAGGGUCGAUAAAAGUAUAACAACUACAGUUUAUCAUGUAACAGUGAGUAGAGCCUUCACUUGAUUGCCUUAAUGCUUGUUUUUUGUGAAUGUUUAAAUGGAAUCAACUUCCCCUUUCUAUCAGGCAGGCUCAUUCAUUAUUUUUAAAUCAAACCUUAAAACACGCUAGUGUUUCCCACUACGUCUUGAGUUGUGAUUUUUAACUUAUUGUACUGUUAUUGACUGUUUUUUGUGUUUACUAUGUAUUUUAUGGUGUCUUUUUUGAUAAUUUUUUUGUGCUGUUGUUUGGCACCUUGGUCAGCUUUUGCUGUGUUAGAGUGUGCUUUAUAAAUAAAACUUACUUACUUAAAUGCA
rnacentral:lncRNA from 1 species